rnacentral:rRNA from 1 species
UAGUAUUAAAUAGCUGCGGUAUCUUGACCGUACAAAGGUAGCAUAAUCACUAGUUUUUUAAUUGGGAACUUGUAUGAAUGGUUUGACGAAAAAAAGACUGUCUUUAUUAUAGAAGUUGAAUUUAACUUUUAAGUGAAAAGGCUUAAAUUAGUUAGGGGGACGAUAAGACCCUGUAAAACAUUUUGUUGGGGCGACAUAAGUAUAAGUUGUAACUGCUUACAAUAAUUGCCAUUAGUAGAUGGGACGAUCCUUAAUAAAGAUUUAAAAAUUAAGUUACUUCAGGGAUAACAGCGUUAUUUCUUUAGAGAGUCCAUAUCGAAAUAGAAGUUUACGACCUCGAUGUUGAAUUAAAAUAUCUUUAUAGUGCAGCGGCUAUAAAAGAAGGUCUGUUCGACCUUUAAAUUUUU